GCCUUCGUGGUGCAGUGGUCAGCACGCUCGACGCGUAACCGAGAUGUCCUUGGUUCGAUUCCCGGCCAAGGCG
rfam:Stegodyphus mimosarum contig41174, whole genome shotgun sequence.